GACGAACGCUGGCGGCGUGCUUAACACAUGCAAGUCGAACGGAAAGGCCCUGCUUUUGUGGGGUGCUCGAGUGGCGAACGGGUGAGUAACACGUGAGUAACCUGCCCUUGACUUUGGGAUAACUUCAGGAAACUGGGGCUAAUACCGGAUAGGAGCUCCUGCUGCAUGGUGGGGGUUGGAAAGUUUCGGCGGUUGGGGAUGGACUCGCGGCUUAUCAGCUUGUUGGGGGGGUAGUGGUUUACCAAGGCUUUGAGGGGUAGCCGGCCUGGGGGGGUGACCGGCCACAUUGGGACUGAGGUGAGGCCGAGUCUGGGAGGGGGGCGGGCGGGGGGAAAUUUUGCCGAAGGGGCGGAGCCUGGAUGCAGAAGGCCCGCGGGGGGGAUGACGGCUUUGGGUUGGAAAACCGUUUGCGCCUGUAACGAAGCGGGGGUGGGGGGAACGGAUAAAGAACACCCGGCUAACUUCGUG
rnacentral:rRNA from 1 species